GAUGAACGCUAGCGGCAGGCUUAAUACAUGCAAGUCGAGGGGCAGCAGGUCCCGCAGCAAUGCGGGAUGCUGGCGACCGGCAAACGGGUGCGGAACACGUACAGAACCUUCCUUUAAGUGGGGAAUAGCCCGGGGAAACCCGGAUUAAUACCCCGUAACAUAAUGAAGUGGCAUCACUUUAUUAUUAUAGCCGCAAUGCGCUUGAAGAUGGCUGUGCGGCUGAUUAGGUAGUUGGCGGGGUAACGGCCCACCAAGCCUACGAUCAGUAACUGGUGUGAGAGCACGACCAGUCACACGGGCACUGAGACACGGGCCCGACUCCUACGGGAGGCAGCAGUAAGGAAUAUUGGGCAAUGGACGCAAGUUUGACCCAGCCAUGCCGCGUGGAGGAUGAAGGUCCUCUGGAUUGUAAACUUCUUUUAUCUGGGAAGAAAUCUAUUUUUUCUAAAGUAGUUGACGGUACCAGAUGAAUAAGCACCGGCUAACUCCGUGCCAGCAGCCGCGGUAA
rnacentral:rRNA from 1 species